rnacentral:lncRNA from 1 species
AGCAGAUGACAGAAUCAGCAAAUUCUGGAUGGAGUUCUCACCGGAUGCCUCAAUCUCUUCAGUAAAGGGUGUCAAGUGAAGAAAGUAUAAAGUCUGAAUUGAGUUCUACCCAGAAUGUGUGAAGGGGAGGGGGGAAAUCCAAAACAGGAGUGGAAUAUUGGUUCUUAUUAAAAGUGCAUUCUAAAUUUUAAUUGGCCUUUUGUAAACUUCAACACAUUUCUGGCUCAUAAUUGCCCUAUUUUAGCUUUAAUUUUAAAUAUUCAUAUAAAAUUCUAGUUCACAAACUUUCCAUCUCAACAACUGAAAACAGUGAUAAGCAUUAAGUUACAUUCUACUUUAAUUCAGACUUGAACUCCUCUUUUGAAAUGCAGUAAAAGUUGUUUUCAACUCAAGCAACAAAACAGCAAUCAUUUCAAGUACGAGUAACUGAAGAGCGCUCCUAAACUGUAAGAAUGUUUGCAAAAAAAGGCUUUUUGUAGUUGUUGGUGUUCAGCCCUUUGCCUGCCUCACUCUAAAACAGAUCCUUAAUAGAGGGAAUCUUGGGUUCAAAUCCUAGCUCACCUAGACAAGUUACUCAAUCUCUUUGCGUCUCGGUUUCCUCGACUAAAAAAUGAGAAAUACAAUAACCAGGAUUAUCCCAAGGAUUAAAUGACGUAAUACAGGUGAAUGUGCCAAGUUCGUACUAUGUACUCAGAACAGUUUGCUAACCGUUUAAAAGAAAAAACCUGCAGCACUUUGACCAAAUUAAAACAUCCGAAAGCCUGAGUACAAGUCACAAAACGCCAGACCCCAACACACAGCACAUUAUUUUUCUUCCCUGACGCAAGCUUUUUUUUCUUUUCUUUUCUUUCCUUGCCAAGCCCUUCCACUAAGAGUCUGAAAAGAGGACGGGGAAAAAGGUUACAUUCAAUCCAGCAGAAAGUUUUCCGAAACUGAAGUGCAGAAUCACAACAGACAUGGCAGCGGAGGCAGCGCAGGACAACAGAAGCGUAAGAGACAAAUCGCAAAUAUUACCCUCGCAGCUCCCGGACAAGGGAGGUGAGCGCCUUUCCCAUUUAAGGAU